GGGAGGUUGAGUUGCUCGGGCUCUGACUCUAUCUAUUCGGCGUGGAGGGGAGGUUGUGUUGCUCUGGCUCUAUCUAUCUGGCGUGGAGAGGAGGUUGUGUUGCUCUGGCUCUAUCUAUCUGGCGUUGAGAGGAGAUCGUGUUGCUCUUGCUCUAUCGGUUUGGCGACGCCUGGAAGCUGCUUGACAUCCUCCUGGAUCCACCUUCUCACAUAUGUUCACAUUAUAUGUAUUAUUUUUUGUCAUAUGGAUUGUCUAUGUUGUAUUUUCAUCAUG